UUUCUUCCGUGAAGGCAGACCAUGGCUUCACAUCUCUCUGGACACCCUACCUAGCAUGAGAUUCUUGACUGGGAGCAGCCUGGGAAGCAUGGACUCAGCACCUUCACAAUGAUGGAUUUCAGAGCCACCGUGAGGACCUUCAGUCAGAGAUCUGCAGUCAUGGUGACCACGCAAACUCUUCACUGUGCACUUAUCAUUGUCCCCGCAGUGUUUAAGGGUAUGUGAGAGCAUGCUCUGGAGUCAGAUGGCUUAUUGACUGUACCUGGCUCUUCUGCCUGAACCACACCAUAAGGCAUCACUUUCUGGCAUCAGCUUCCUCAUCUGUGGCACAUACCUCAUCAGAGCAAGAACUAACCAGAAGUACUAGGAUGACUACUAUCAAAAAGACAUAAUACCCAGUGUUGGAGGAGAUGUGGAGAAAUCGCAGCCCUCAUAUGUUGCUGGUAGGAAUGUGAAAUGGUGCAGUUGCUUUAGAAAUCAGUCUGGCUAUUCCUUGAAACAUAUAGGUUUCAACAAUUCCACUCCUAGGUCUACCCAAAAUAAAUGAAAACUUACGUCCACAUAAAAACAUAUACAAAUAUUCAUAACAGUUUUAUUCACAAUAGCCAAAAAGUGGAAAAAUCCAAUGUCCAUCCACUGAUGAACAGAGAAAUAAGGUGUGCUAUAUUCAUAUAAUGGACUAUUUGGCAAAAAAAAGAAAUGAAGUGCUUAUAAUACAUACUACAACAUGGAUGAACCUUGAAAACAUUGUUAAAUGGAAAGAACCAGUUACACAUUGUAUGAUAAGAAAUAGAGCACGUUUUGUAUGAUUGUAUAAUUCCAUUUAUAUGAAAUGUCCAGAACAGGCAAAUCUAGAGACAGAAAGUAAUUAAUGGUUAGGAAAGUAAUUAAGGGGAAGGGGGGACUGCUAAUGCAUAUGGGGUUUGGGGGGCAUGAUAAAAAUAUUCUAAAAUUAAUUGUGAUGGCUGUACAACUGUGAGAAUAUGUUAAAAUG